GCCUUGUCGCCAUUGUUGCCCGAGAUACAGACAGCCAGGGGGGGGCCGCACACAACCGCAGGUGGUGGGGAGAACGGGAGAGCCUAGGGCUCCCACAAAUGACGUUUGCCCUCCAGCCAGUUACAGCAAAUGUUCCUGUAAAGGCAAUAGCUGUAGCUGCCACAGGAAUCUUACGUGAACACAUGGGAGGCGAGGUGGUCCCGGCAAUUGUAAAUGGGACAGGAGGCGUCCAUGAGACAAACUCUGUACCAAGAUUUGGCACACAUGUUGAACAAAAUUGAGAAUCCCUGAUUUAGGGGCAUGAUUUUGAAAAGCCCCAUGCACUUUCAACUCCUAUUGUACCUCUCAGGAUUAAGUCUGAAGUCAAAAGAUUUUUUUUAAAGAGCAAGAAACAGAAAGAAACCCAUGGAAACAGAUUUUAAAACGUAAGUUUAUUAAAUUUUGAAAGAAAUAAAGUAGGAGUUAUUACUUACUACAUGUCUGUAGAGCCCUGAGUAUAAUGUGGAGGAUGGUAUCAGGAUUCUUUAGACACCAUCACAAAUAAUAAACGAUGGGUCACUCUAAACCAAACCCCACAUCCAAACUACUUCUCAACUCUGAGGACAUUUGAAUCCUAACCUGAAUAUGUCUGACCCUUUCAUUAUAAGGAGUCAACCCAAAUCCCUAGAUGUUAACACACCUGGAGUUGGGGAGGUUUGGCUCUGGAGCCAGACUUUGUGGCCCAUCUCUAAUAUAAG